AUGGCCGCUCGGCCGAGGCGGCGUUGUCACUCACUUUAUGCGAUGCUGUCGCAGGGUAACGUUUGUGAUGGCGCCAAGAAUUCAACUGAGGAACUCUCUUGUACAACUUCUAUGGAGUGGGACACGCAGGUGGUGAACGGGUCCUCGCCGCUUGGCCCCGCAGGCUUGGGGGCGGAGGAACAGCCAGGCAGACCGCAGCUGCCGUCGUGGCUGCAGCCCGAGAGGUGCGCCGUGUUCCAGUGUGCACAGUGCCACGCAGUACUCGCUGACUCUGUGCACCUCGCCUGGGACCUGUCGCCGUCCCUCGGGACCGUGGUAUUCUCCAGAGUCACAAACAACGUGGUUUUGGAAACUCCCUUCCUAGUUGGCAUUGAAGGUUCGCUCAAAGGCAGCAUUUACAACCUUUUAUUCUGUACUUCCUGUGGGAUUCCCAUUGGUUUCCAUUUGUAUUCUACCCAUGCUGCUCUGGCUGCCUUGAGAGGUCACUUCUGCCUUUCCAGUGACAAAAUGAUAUGCUAUCUCUUAAAAACAAAGGCCAUAGUAAAUGCAUCUGAGAUGGAUAUUCACAACUUAUCUCUACCAGAAAAGAUUGCAGAGGGCUACUUUUGAAGACCAUUGGCAGAAUAUCAAACAAAAGCAUUUGUUACCGGAAACAAAGGAAAAAAGUUAGAUUCUUGCCACUAGGAAAGGAAAGGAAGACUAGUUGAUGCUUCUCUCCCUGAAAGAGAAGAUAAUGUUAACUCAUACUCACUUAAAUUCACUGAUGAAGAUUCUGAAGGAAGUAACUCCUGACCAGCCCAAGCCAGAAAACUGAUCCAGAAUCAGAGUUUAAGUAUUAGGGUCGGUAAAUAAAUAAAUUAAUAAAUAAAUAUUUU